rnacentral:rRNA from 1 species
UAAGUCCGGCAACGAGCGCAACCCCUGUCCUUAGUUACCAUCAUUAAGUUGGGGACUCUAGGGAGACUGCCGGUGUUAAACCGGAGGAAGGCGGGGACGACGUCAAGUCCUCAUGGCUCUUACGGCCAGGGCUACACACGUACUACAAUGGCAGGAACAAACAGUUGCGAGACCGAGAGGUUGAGCCAACCUGUAAAACACUGUCUCAGUCCGGAUUGGAGUCUGCAACUCGACUUCAUGAAGCUGGAAUCGCUAGUAAUCGGAGAUCAGCAUGCUCCGGUGAAUACGUUCCCGGGCCUU